GAUGAACGCUGGCGGCGUGCUUAACACAUGCAAGUCGAACGGAAAGGCUCCUGCUUGCAGGGGUACUCGAGUGGCGAACGGGUGAGUAACACGUGGGUGAUCUGCCCUGCACUUCGGGAUAAGCCUGGGAAACUGGGUCUAAUACCGGAUAGGACCACAUUUUGGAUGGUGUGGUGGAAAGUUUUUCGGUGUGGGAUGAGCUCGCGGCCUAUCAGCUUGUUGGUGGGGUAAUGGCCUACCAAGGCGUCGACGGGUAGCCGGCCUGAGAGGGUGUACGGCCACAUUGGGACUGAGAUACGGCCCAGACUCCUACGGGAGGCAGAAGUGGGGAAUAUUGCACAAUGGGCGCAAGCCUGAUGCAGCGACGCCGCGUGGGGGAUGACGGCCUUCGGGUUGUAAACUCCUUUCGCUAGGGACGAAGCGCAAGUGACGGUACCUGGAGAAGAAGCACCGGCUAACUACGUG
rnacentral:rRNA from 1 species